GGUAGUUCCUUCCCACCAGGACAGCUGCAGGUGCUUGGGGCUUGGUGUGGGGCAGGAGGUUCCGUGUGCAGGUGUCCAGCUGUGUCCAGCAGUGCCCCAGCCCUGUGUCUCACACGCACUCAUCCUCUGUGAUGAACCUGGAGGUCAGCACAUGGCUCCGUCCCCAAGACCCCAGCUCGGCCACUCUGCCCAGUCCCUGCUCUCUGUCCCCUCCCCCACUUGCCAGCUGGUGGCCCUGGCUGCCGCCUCUGGGGAGGGUCUGCCUCUCUGUGCUCUGCUGUCCCUCGGGCCUGUGGGAGGGGCAGGGCUGAUCCAGAAGCCACCCCUGCGGCCCUCGGCAGUUGCUAGUGGAUGUGAGGAAACCAGGAGCCUGUCUAGCUCACGUCUAGGGCUAGUGACAGGGCACCAACCAUAGCACAGCUGCAGAAAGCCCCAGGGCUUCUGGUGGACAUGCCCAGAGCUCCGUGACCUGGACUCCGCCCCACUCGGUGACCCCUGAGUCCUCGCUGAGCGCCAGCCCCAUCACCCUGCCUCCGCAGGACAGGGCCCAGAUGGACUUGGCACUUACGUGGGGUGGAGACGGCACCAGCAAACAGACCACUGAGAGGACAAGGGCUGUGAAAG
rnacentral:lncRNA from 1 species